CAGUCGCCACGGGAAUACGAAGGGUGCAAGCGUUAAUCGGAAUUACUGGGCGUAAAGCGUGCGUAGGCGGUUUCUUAAGUCUGCUGUGAAAUCCCCGGGCUCAACCUGGGAAUGGCAGUGGAUACUGGGAAGCUAGAGUGUGUCAGAGGAUGGUGGAAUUCCCGGUGUAGCGGUGAAAUGCGUAGAGAUCGGGAGGAACAUCAGUGGCGAAGGCGGCCAUCUGGGACAACACUGACGCUGAGGCACGAAAGCGUGGGGGGCAAACAGGAUUAGAUACCCGAGUAGUCCCUGUCUCUUAUAC
rnacentral:rRNA from 1 species